GACGAACGCUGGCGGCGUGCUUAACACAUGCAAGUCGAACGGAAAGGCCCUGCUUUUGUGGGGUGCUCGAUUGGCGAACGGGUGAGUAACACGUGAGUAACCUGCCCUUGACUUUGGGAUAACUUCAGGAAACUGGGGCUAAUACCGGAUAGGAGCUCCUGCUGCAUGGUGGGGGUUGGAAAGUUUCGGCGGUUGGGGAUGGACUCGCGGCUUAUCAGCUUGUUGGUGGGGUAGUGGCUUACCAAGGCUUUGACGGGUAGCCGGCCUGAGAGGGUGACCGGCCACAUUGGGACUGAGAUACGGCCCAGACUCCUACGGGAGGCAGCAGUGGGGAAUAUUGAACAAUGGGCGGAAGCCUGAUGCAGCAACGCCGCGUGCGGGAUGACGGCCUUCGGGUUGUAAGCCGCUUUCGCCUGUGACGAAGCGUGAGUGACGGUAAUGGGUAAAGAAGCACCGGCUAACUACGUG
rnacentral:rRNA from 1 species